rnacentral:lncRNA from 1 species
CAUAAACAGUGCAGAUUCUCUUUUUUGUGUUGGUUGGAUCUCGAGACAGGACGCUGAAGGAUCAUCGAGCCAGUCCUUUGCACGACACAGAACAGGAUCUCUCGCCUCCGGAGAAUCAUUGUCUUGUCAGCGUGGUUGUUGCGUCAGUCUGCAUAUAUAUGUUUUCACCACCAGCCACUAUUCACUCUCCUAGCAGUUCCUAGGCACACCUCACCGAUGAAGUAGCCACGAGCAGACGGCCAUUUAGGGCUCUUCCUCAAAAGAGCCAGUACAUUUGAGCUGCGGGAGAAACUGGAAAAGAGCAGCUGCAUCAACAAGGCGUAGCUGGGCAGAAUUAUCUGAAUGGGGCGUUAAGCAAGGGGUAAACUCCACAUGGCGAUGUGGACCUUUGGGGUGUCAAGAACGGUAGUGGAGCUGUAUCAUACAGCGGCCAUUGGGCUGAGAAGUGUUCCGCCAUCUGGGUAAAACAGCCACUUCAUUCACGCUGGAGCACACAGUUUGAUGUGCCUCCUCUCUUUCGCUCCUACCACGCUUGCAGUCCAUACGGCUGCCUACAGAACAGGCGAACUUGGCCCCCCGCUCUUUGAGUGGUAAGGCAUCUCUGCAUGUGAUAGAUGUGGAAAAGCUGCGUUCCGUUUUCCAGACGUGCACUUGAAGUCGAACAACUCGUCUACACCUGUGAGUGACCGUAUUCGUGCUGCAAGCUGACGGCGAGUGCUGCGUGGAUCACAACGAAAGACAAAACAAUCCUGUGCAGUGCCCCCUCUGAAUAAGUGACCAGGGUCCGAUACAAUUACACCACCAGUUGGAGACGACAGCUGCAGUGUAGGGCCUUGAACUUCCGAUUCUCGUGUCGCUGUGCAAUAACCGGG